rnacentral:rRNA from 1 species
UACGUAGGGUGCAAGCGUUAAUCGGAAUUACUGGGCGUAAAGCGUGCGCAGGCGGUUUUGUAAGUCUGACGUGAAAUCCCCGGGCUUAACCUGGGAAUUGCGUUGGAGACUGCAAGGCUAGAAUCUGGCAGAGGGGGGUAGAAUUCCACGUGUAGCAGUGAAAUGCGUAGAGAUGUGGAGGAACACCGAUGGCGAAGGCAGCCCCCUGGGCCGGAACUGACGCUGAGGAGCGAAAGCGUGGGUAGCAAACAGG